AAAUGCGAUAAGUAAUGUGAAUUGCAGAAUUCAGUGAAUCAUCGAAUCUUUGAACGCACCUUGCGCUCCUUGGUAUUUCUUGGAGCAUGCCUGUUUGAGUAUCAUGAAAUCUUCAAAGUAAAUCUUUUGUUAACUCAAUUGGUUUCUACUUUGGUAUUGGAGGUCUUUGCAGCUUCACACCUGCUCCUCUUUGUUCAUUAGCUGGAUCUCAGUGUUAUGCUUGGUUCCACUCGGCGUGAUAAGUUAUCUAUCGCUGAGGACACUGUAAAAGGUGGCCAAGGUAAAUGCAGAUGAACCGCUUCUAAUAGUCCAUUGACUUGGACAAUACUUUUAUGAUCUGAUCUCAAAUCAGGUAGGACUACCCGCUGAACUUAAGC
rnacentral:misc_RNA from 1 species